CCCUUCACCGUCUUCUGAGAUGAUUUCGCCCCUUCAGUCUCUGUAGAUGGUUUCACCCAACUUCACCGUUUGAGCGGGAUUCUCGAUUUUGCAUUUUGGUCUCGAUAGAGUUAUUGUCAGGUGUAAUUUUAACGCUAGGCACCGGAACCUGAUGAGAAAACAAGAGCUGGAGCUUGGCCAAAAAAAGGAAAGCUUGCUGGUGAUUCAUUGGACUAGACCACACCAGGUUCCCCCACCCCAAUAGGAGAUAAUAAGGCCAUUUAUAUGGGUGUCAGUGGACAGGAAGCACGACCAUAUCUGGACUCUGAAGGGCAGACAAUCAAGUCUUCAAAAGGAAAUGUUGGAAGGGGAUCUUUUGGCAGUGCAGACCAAUGCCCAGUGACAACACCCUAGGAGGCCACAAAAACAGGAAAAGGGGGAGUGUGCAAGAAGAAGUGAAGGGAACAGUGAAGAAGCAGGGGUAGAUAAAAAGAGAAAUAUGUAUACAUGUGUGUAUUCAGCCUUGCACAUUUGUAAACCGACAUACAGGGUAACACUUUUAAACUGAACAAUGUAAAAGACAAAAUAAAAGAAUAAAUUAUAGCUUUUAGAAAUCAUUUCUAGAAAUUAUUAAACUUAUUUUUUUUUUUAAA